UGUGUGUGUGUGUAUGCGUGUGUAUAACCGCGAGCGCAUCUAGAGUUCUCGACAUGUCAAGUACGGCGUAUCUUUUUUCAUCGGAAAGAAAAAGAAGAAGAA
rnacentral:lncRNA from 1 species